GAUGAACGCUGGCGGCGUGCCUAAUACAUGCAAGUCGAGCGAACGGACGAGAAGCUCGCUUCUCUGCUGUUAGCGGCGGACGGGUGAGUAACACGUGGAUAACCUACCUAUAAGACUGGGAUAACUUCGGGAAACCGGAUCUAAUACCGGACAAUAUUUUGAACCGCAUGGUUCAAAAGUGAAAGACCGUCUUGCUGUCACUUAUAGAUGGAUCCGCGCUGCAUUAGCUAGUUGGUAAGGUAACGGCUUACCAAGGCAACGAUGCAUAGCCGACCUGAGAGGGUGAUCGGCCACACUGGAACUGAGACACGGUCCAGACUCCUACGGGAGGCAGCAGUAGGGAAUCUUGCGCAAUGGGCGAAAGCCUGACGGAGCAACGCCGCGUGAGUGAUGAAGGUCUUCGGAUCGUAAACCUCUGUUAUUAGGGAAGAACAUAUGUGUAAGUAACUGUGCACAUCUUGACGGUACCUAAUCAGAAAGCCACGGCUAACUACGUG
rnacentral:rRNA from 1 species